ACUGGGACUGAGACACGGCCCAGACUCCUACGGGAGGCAGCAGUAGGGAAUCUUCGGCAAUGGGGGCAACCCUGACCGAGCAACGCCGCGUGAGUGAAGAAGGUUUUCGGAUCGUAAAGCUCUGUUGUAAGUCAAGAACGGGUGUGAGAGUGGAAAGUUCACACUGUGACGGUAGCUUACCAGAAAGGGACGGCUAACUACGUGCCAGCAGCCGCGGUAAUACGUAGGUCCCGAGCGUUGUCCGGAUUUAUUGGGCGUAAAGCGAGCGCAGGCGGUUUGAUAAGUCUGAAGUUAAAGGCUGUGGCUCAACCAUAGUUCGCUUUGGAAACUGUCAAACUUGAGUGCAGAAGGGGAGAGUGGAAUUCCAUGUGUAGCGGUGAAAUGCGUAGAUAUAUGGAGGAACACCGGUGGCGAAAGCGGCUCUCUGGUCUGUAACUGACGCUGAGGCUCGAAAGCGUGGGGAGCGAACAGGAUUAGAUACCCUGGUAGUCCACGCCGUAAACGGUGGAUGCUGGAUGUGGGGCCCGUUCCACGGGUUCCGUGUCGGAGCUAACGCGUUAAGCAUCCCGCCUGGGGAGUACGGCCGCAAGGCUAAAACUCAAAGAAAUUGACGGGGGCCCGCACAAGCGGCGGAGCAUGCGGAUUAAUUCGAUGCAACGCGAAGAACCUUACCUGGGCUUGACAUGUUCCCGACGGUCGUAGAGAUACGGCUUCCCUUCGGGGCGGGUUCACAGGUGGUGCAUGGUCGUCGUCAGCUCGUGUCGUGAGAUGUUGGGUUAAGUCCCGCAACGAGCGCAACCCUCGCCCCGUGUUGCCAGCGGAUUAUGCCGGGAACUCACGGGGGACCGCCGGGGUUAACUCGGAGGAAGGUGGGGAUGACGUCAGAUCAUCAUGCCCCUUACGUCCAGGGCUUCACGCAUGCUACAAUGGCCGGUACAACGGGAUGCGACGCGGCGACGCGGAGCGGAUCCCUGAAAACCGGUCUCAGUUCGGAUCGCAGUCUGCAACUCGACUGCGUGAAGGCGGAGUCGCUAGUAAUCGCGAAUCAGCAACGUCGCGGUGAAUGCGUUCCCGGGCCUUGUACACACCGCCCGUCAAGUCAUGAAAGUGGGCAGCACCCGAAGCCGGUGGCCUAACCCCUUGUGGGAUGGAGCCGUCUAAGGUGAGGCUCGUGAUUGGGACUAAGUCGUAACAAGGUAGCCGUACCGGAAGGUGCGGCUG
rnacentral:rRNA from 1 species